GCAGUGCUGCUCCAAGGGAGCUGCAGUUUGCCUGCCCUAAGUCUCCAUCUCUUCUGAGGUCCAGUGUCCCUACUGGGACUGCCUCUCCACCACGAUGCCCCAUGGCCAGGGAGCCCUGGGAUGCUCCUCCACAGGGUCCUGCCAACUGAAGAGCAGGAAUAUAAGGCAGAAUGUUAUUUCUGUAUGGAGACAUAGUGUUUUAGCUGAAAACCUGGGUUUUCUGUUGUUUUGCUUUGCCUAUUGCAUUCUCACUAAAGUUUUUUCUUGUUCUUUUUGAACUCUUUUUUACAGGGAGAUUUAAAAAAAAAAAAAAAAGCUCUGCUUUUAGACUAGCCGUCAAACCCUUUUUGAUGGCCAUAAAUAUAUCAACACAGCCUGCUGGUACGAACUGAUAACUAUUCUUAGUCAUGCAGUAUGGGUUUACUGAACAUUAAGAAACCCUCAUGACCAAGCACUUUUCCUCCUGCUUUACCAAAACCAAUCUUUUAUUUUCAGAGUAUAGGGGGUUAGUAUAAUAAAGCACCAAAUAAGUAAAUGCUAGCCUCAAAAUACACAGUGUUGAAGUCAGCAAUCCUGCAAAACCAGUUAGCUCACCAUCUAGGAAAGCUGCCAAAAUAGUGCAUCAUACCCAGCUCUCAUAUAUCAGACCAAGCAAAUCCGAGCAAGUUACAAACGUGCUAGAGCUCUUCUGUCAGUUUGGUGAGAUUACCUUCACCAACCAAAGGACAUAAAAGCUGAAGAAAGAAGUGAAGCACAGACUGUCCUGCAGAGAUGAACACGAUGCCCAACAGCCAGGGAAUUGAACAAAGCCUGGCUGUGCAGACAGGACGAAGAACAGCUCGCUGAUAACAAGAACAAUUCAGAAGGAACCACCCCAGCAGCUUGAUCUGUCCCAUCCCUCGGAAACAGAGUACAGAGGAACCUUAACUUCUUCCUUGGACAUCUCCUUUGGCUGCUGCUGGAGCCAGGACAGUAGGCUAGCAGCACCCUGGGCUGGACAGGGACAAGCCUCUAUGGGAAGCAAGCAUUUCACAAGUCCCUGUAAGCCUGGCCUGUACCACUCUUUCUUCCUCCACCCAGCUUUUGGAAGAACUACCUUGGACUUUUGGAACCAGGUUGAAGGCCUCAAUUGCCUUUGCUGUGCAUAAACCUUCCCCACUAAACACCACACCACUGGCAGGCUCUUUCCUCCCUCCUUCCUCAGGAUACCUCUCCAAAGUCCCAAGUGACCAUGGAGGACAAAAAUCUCUCACCCUCAGAGGUUUUGCUUUUGAAACUUUCUGUCUGAGAAGAAGUUAAUGAAUAUGACUGCUUUUUCCAUGCUGAUAAAUAACAGCAACUUGAAUCCCACUGGCUUCCAAUGCAAUCCAUGUUCUUGUGACUCUCUGGGUUUUAAAGACGAGAAGGAAAUUUCCUGGCACUAAAGGGCAAGCCCCAAUCUCAGCACACUUCCAUUGAUGUUCCCUGCGUGUCUGCUCCUCAUGGGGCUGCUCAGCUCCACGGGGUUGCUCUGUUCACUUCCUUUGAGAAAAACACCUUCCUGUGUGCAAUACGUCAUGAAAGGCAGAUUUAUCUCUCCUCUGACACAGCCACACUCCGGUGUCCCUGUUUCAGCUCUUCAAGCACUGUAAUUUAUGUGAUUCUCACCCGUCACCCCAGCAACAUCCAGGACAACACACAGGGAACCUAAGUUCAACCUACAGACAGCGGUGGUACGACUGCACCCAGCAGGAUGCUGCUUUGUCUUUCAAGCUACGUGUAACAGUAUGCUUUCUGCUGGAUAGAUGACUCCUUCCCAUACUUUCUUGUAUAUUUGAGAAGAUAUUUCCUGGUAUAAAGGGUAUUGAUACUAAGCCUGUGUUACAGGGGUGGGCUGCCUGAAGUGUGCUGCAUUAAUUAAAACAGUAUAAUUUCUGCUUGUAAUUAAUCCCUAAUAGGUUUUGAAGAUUGGCUCGUUCAUUCAUCCUGGGACAUGGUAAAUGGGAAAUUUCUUGAUAAAGGAGCACUGGGCCCAAGGGGCAGAGAGAUCAACACCAAGGUGUGCAGAGGCUGACUGCACGGCUGGAAAGGCAGGAGGAGAGAGGCUGUGCAAUGGCCAGAGAGUCUUGGUCAUGGUGCCUUCCAACAGGCACCAUGUAGAUUCCCCUCCUUUUGUACUCUCUGCAAAUAAAGAGGAA